AGAAGGAGUAAGGGCAGGAAGUUAAUUAUCUUCUUCAGAAAAGUAUACCUCAAGGUGGUUUGAGACUUGGUACCCUGUUUGAGGAACUUUAUAGUUCUAAGCUCAGCCAGAGUUUGUUUUCUGAGCAUGUAUGGAUUAUUUGGUGGCUUAGACCUCUGAGAAGUCUGGAACUGGGAGAACGGACUUACAUCUGCUGCUUAAAAGCAACGCUGGACUUCAAACAUCUCUUUUUGAGGUUGAAUUUUACUGGGGAAAUCCUCUUGGCAUUCGAGUACUGUUUUUUUUGCACUUCAUGCUCGUGCAAGACUAAGCCAAGUAUAUGGGUCUAAGUGCUUACAAGCUAAGGACUAUGCUUUGGGAUACUGAACUGUAUUAUGCAAUGGUCCUAACUGUUGAACUCUCAAUUGUUUGUGUUAUUUCAUAUUUGUAGGUGCUUGGUAAUUAUAUUUAAUACACCUGACUCAUGAGUA